GCACAAGCGGUGGAUGAUGUGGUUAAUUCGAUGCAACGCGAAAACCUUACCACCUUUGACAUGUACGGAAGCCUUUAGAGAUAGAGGCGUGCUCGAAAGAGAGCCGUAACACAGGUGCUGCAUGGCUGUCGUCAGCUCGUGUCGUGAGAUGUUGGGUUAAGUCCCGCAACGAGCGCAACCCUUGUCAUUAGUUGCUACAUUCAGUUGGGCACUCUAAUGAGACUGCCGGUGACAAGCCGGAGGAAGGUGGGGAUGACGUCAAGUCCUCAUGGCCCUUAUAGGUGGGGCUACACACGUCAUACAAUGGCUGGUACAAAGGGUUGCCAACCCGCGAGGGGGAGCUAAUCCCAUAAAGCCAGUCGUAGUCCGGAUCGUAGUCUGCAACUCGACUACGUGAAGUCGGAAUCGCUAGUAAUCGUGGAUCAGAAUGUCACGGUGAAUACGUUCCCGGGUCUU
rnacentral:rRNA from 1 species